rnacentral:rRNA from 1 species
ACUCAAAGGAAUAGACGGGGACCCGCACAAGCAGCGGAGCAUGUGGUUUAAUUCGAAGAUACCCGAAAAACCUUACCAGGACUUGACAUCGCCUGAAUAGCCGCGAAAUCGGUGAAGCAGAAGCAAUUUUGCAGGUAGACAGAUGGUGCAUGGUUGUCGUCAGCUCGUGUCGUGAGAUGUUCGGUUAAGUCCGAUAACGAGCGCAACCCUUGUUGUUAGUUGCCAUCAUUAAGUUGGGAACCCUAACAAGACCGCCAUAGAUAAUAUGGAGGAAGGUGGGGAUGACGUCAAAUCAUCAUGCCUCUUACGUCCUGGGCUACACACGUGCUACAAUGGCCACCACAAAGAGCAGCAAUAUAGUAAUAUGGAGCGAAUCUCAAAAAAGUGGUCUCAAUUCGGAUUGAGGGCUGCAACCCGCCCUCAUGAAAUCGGAGUUGCUAGUAAUCCCAAAUCAGCAUGUUGGGGUGAAUGCGUUCCCGGGUCUUGUACACACCGCCCGU